rnacentral:rRNA from 1 species
UACGUAGGGUGCAAGCGUUGUCCGGAAUUAUUGGGCGUAAAGAGCUCGUAGGCGGUUUGUCGCGUCUGCUGUGAAAACUCGGGGCUUAACUCCGGGCCUGCAGUGGGUACGGGCAGGCUAGAGUUCGGUAGGGGAGACUGGAAUUCCUGGUGUAGCGGUGAAAUGCGCAGAUAUCAGGAGGAACACCGGUGGCGAAGGCGGGUCUCUGGGCCGAUACUGACGCUGAGGAGCGAAAGCGUGGGGAGCGAACAGG